CCAGGGUUCCGUUUUAGAUUUUUUAUUUCUGCUCAGGACGAACGCUGGCGGCGUGCCUAAUACAUGCAAGUCGAACGAACUCUGGUAUUGAUUGGUGCUUGCAUCAUGAUUUACAUUUGAGUGAGUGGCGAACUGGUGAGUAACACGUGGGAAACCUGCCCAGAAGCGGGGGAUAACACCUGGAAACAGAUGCUAAUACCGCAUAACAACUUGGACCGCAUGGUCCGAGUUUGAAAGAUGGCUUCGGCUAUCACUUUUGGAUGGUCCCGCGGCGUAUUAGCUAGAUGGUGAGGUAACGGCUCACCAUGGCAAUGAUACGUAGCCGACCUGAGAGGGUAAUCGGCCACAUUGGGACUGAGACACGGCCCAAACUCCUACGGGAGGCAGCAGUAGGGAAUCUUCCACAAUGGACGAAAGUCUGAUGGAGCAACGCCGCGUGAGUGAAGAAGGGUUUCGGCUCGUAAAACUCUGUUGUUAAAGAAGAACAUAUCUGAGAGUAACUGUUCAGGUAUUGACGGUAUUUAACCAGAAAGCCACGGCUAACUACGUGCCAGCAGCCGCGGUAAUACGUAGGUGGCAAGCGUUGUCCGGAUUUAUUGGGCGUAAAGCGAGCGCAGGCGGUUUUUUAAGUCUGAUGUGAAAGCCUUCGGCUCAACCGAAGAAGUGCAUCGGAAACUGGGAAACUUGAGUGCAGAAGAGGACAGUGGAACUCCAUGUGUAGCGGUGAAAUGCGUAGAUAUAUGGAAGAACACCAGUGGCGAAGGCGGCUGUCUGGUCUGUAACUGACGCUGAGGCUCGAAAGUAUGGGUAGCAAACAGGAUUAGAUACCCUGGUAGUCCAUACCGUAAACGAUGAAUGCUAAGUGUUGGAGGGUUUCCGCCCUUCAGUGCUGCAGCUAACGCAUUAAGCAUUCCGCCUGGGGAGUACGGCCGCAAGGCUGAAACUCAAAGGAAUUGACGGGGGCCCGCACAAGCGGUGGAGCAUGUGGUUUAAUUCGAAGCUACGCGAAGAACCUUACCAGGUCUUGACAUACUAUGCAAAUCUAAGAGAUUAGACGUUCCCUUCGGGGACAUGGAUACAGGUGGUGCAUGGUUGUCGUCAGCUCGUGUCGUGAGAUGUUGGGUUAAGUCCCGCAACGAGCGCAACCCUUAUUAUCAGUUGCCAGCAUUAAGUUGGGCACUCUGGUGAGACUGCCGGUGACAAACCGGAGGAAGGUGGGGAUGACGUCAAAUCAUCAUGCCCCUUAUGACCUGGGCUACACACGUGCUACAAUGGAUGGUACAACGAGUUGCGAACUCGCGAGAGUAAGCUAAUCUCUUAAAGCCAUUCUCAGUUCGGAUUGUAGGCUGCAACUCGCCUACAUGAAGUCGGAAUCGCUAGUAAUCGCGGAUCAGCAUGCCGCGGUGAAUACGUUCCCGGGCCUUGUACACACCGCCCGUCACACCAUGAGAGUUUGUAACACCCAAAGUCGGUGGGGUAACCUUUUAGGAACCAGCCGCCUAAGGUGGGACAGAUGAUUAGGGUGAAGUCGUAACAGGGUAAACCGGAA
rnacentral:rRNA from 1 species